rnacentral:piRNA from 1 species
UCNGAGAUCGAUGCUGACUUCAGGAGAGCA